AAUGAGACACAUACAUAACAAAUC
rnacentral:sRNA from 1 species